rnacentral:rRNA from 1 species
UACGGAGGGUGCAAGCGUUAUCCGGAUUCACUGGGUUUAAAGGGUGCGUAGGUGGCUUUGUAAGUCAGUGGUGAAAUCUUAGAGCUUAACUCUAAAACUGCCAUUGAUACUGCUUAGCUUGAAUCAAGUAGAGGUGGAUGGAAUAUUACAUGUAGCGGUGAAAUGCUUAGAUAUGACAUAGAACACCAAUUGCGAAGGCAGCUAGCUACAGGGAUAUUGACACUGAGGCACGAAAGCGUGGGGAUCAAACAGG